UACAGAGGGUGCGAGCGUUGUCCGGAUUUACUGGGCGUAAAGAGCGCGCAGGCGGUCGUUCAAGUCGAGUGUGAAAGCCCCCGGCUCAACUGGGGAGGGUCACUCGAUACUGAUCGGCUUGAAUCCGGGAGAGGGAUGUGGAAUUCCAGGUGUAGCGGUGAAAUGCGUAGAUAUCUGGAGGAACACCGGUGGCGAAGGCGGCAUCCUGGACCGGUAUUGACGCUGAGGCGCGAAAGCCAGGGGAGCAAAGCGGG
rnacentral:rRNA from 1 species